rnacentral:rRNA from 1 species
ACGGGAGGCAGCAGUGGGGAAUAUUGCACAAUGGGGGAAACCCUGAUGCAGCCAUGCCGCGUGUGUGAAGAAGGCCUUCGGGUUGUAAAGCACUUUCAGCGAGGAGGAAAGGGUGUAAGUUAAUACCUUACAUCUGUGACGUUACUCGCAGAAGAAGCACCGGCUAACUCCGUGCCAGCAGCCGCGGUAAUACGGAGGGUGCGAGCGUUAAUCGGAAUUACUGGGCGUAAAGCGUGCGCAGGCGGUUUGUUAAGCGAGAUGCGAACGCCCCGGGCUCAACCUGGGAACCGCAUUUCGAACUGGCAAACUAGAGUCUUGUAGAGGGGGGUAGAAUUCCAGGUGUAGCGGUGAAAUGCGUAGAGAUCUGGAGGAAUACCGGUGGCGAAGGCGGCCCCCUGGACAAAGACUGACGCUCAGGCACGAAAGCGUGGGGAGCAAACAGGAUUAGAUACCCUGGUAGUCCACGCCGUAAACGAUGUCUACUCGGAGUUUGGUGUCUUGAACACUGGGCUCUCAAGCUAACGCAUUAAGUAGACCGCCUGGGGAGUACGGCCGCAAGGUUAAAACUCAAAUGAAUUGACGGGGGCCCGCACAAGCGGUGGAGCAUGUGGUUUAAUUCGAUGCAACGCGAAGAACCUUACCUACUCUUGA